rnacentral:rRNA from 1 species
AUCCUGGCUCAGGACGAACGCUGGCGGCGUGCUUAACACAUGCAAGUCGAACGAUGAAGCCCUUCGGGGUGGAUUAGUGGCGAACGGGUGAGUAACACGUGGGCAAUCUGCCCUUCACUCUGGGACAAGCCCUGGAAACGGGGUCUAAUACCGGAUAACACCGGCUUCCGCAUGGGAGCUGGUUAAAAGCUCCGGCGGUGAAGGAUGAGCCCGCGGCCUAUCAGCUUGUUGGUGGGGUAAUGGCCUACCAAGGCGACGACGGGUAGCCGGCCUGAGAGGGCGACCGGCCACACUGGGACUGAGACACGGCCCAGACUCCUACGGGAGGCAGCAGUGGGGAAUAUUGCACAAUGGGCGAAAGCCUGAUGCAGCGACGCCGCGUGAGGGAUGACGGCCUUCGGGUUGUAAACCUCUUUCAGCAGGGAAGAAGCGAAAGUGACGGUACCUGCAGAAGAAGCGCCGGCUAACU